GACGAACGCUGGCGGCGUGCUUAACACAUGCAAGUCGAACGGAAAGGCCCUGCUUUUGUGGGGUGCUCGAGUGGCGAACGGGUGAGUAACACGUGAGUAACCUGCCCUUGACUUUGGGAUAACUUCAGGAAACUGGGGCUAAUACCGGAUAGGAGCUCCUGCUGCAUGGUGGGGGUUGGAAAGUUUCGGCGGUUUGGGAUGGACGGGCGGCUAAUCAGCUUGUUGGUGGGGGAGUGGCUUACCAAGGCUUUGACGGGUACCCGGCCUGAGAGGGUGACCGGGCACAUUGGGACUGAGAUACGGCCCAGACUCCUACGGGAGGCAGCAGUGGGGAAUAUUGCACAGUGGGCGGGAGCCUGAUGCAGCAACGCCGCGUUCGGGAUGACGGCCUUCGGGUUGUAAACCGCUUUCGCCUGUGACGAAGCGUGAGUGACGGUAAUGGGUAAAGAAGCACCGGCUAACUACGUG
rnacentral:rRNA from 1 species